rnacentral:lncRNA from 1 species
GUCAAGGAGAUGUUUUCUGUGAAGAUGAAGAAGCUGGGGGGAUUCCAGGGAUGAGAGGAGGGAGAGGAAUUGGUGGCAACGGAAGGGAUGGUGUUGGAGGUAGGCCAGGGACUGGUGGCAACGGAAGGGAUGGUGCUGGAGUUAGGCCAGGGAUUGGUGGCAACGGAAGGGAUGGUGUUGGAGGAGGCUGGGAUUGGUGGAAGUGGGUUAGGAGGAAGUUGGUGGAAAAAGUGGUGGUGUUGGAAAGCCAAACUGAUUAGGAUGGUGCACCGCUUUCUCAUCUGGUAAUGUUGUGCUCUUAAGAGAUUCUGUAGUUUUGGUAUUUUCCGUAUUUGCUGGAAUUGGUGGAAGCAAAGGUAGCCCUGGAAGAGGUGGGAGAGGAGGGAGUUGCGGUAAUGGUGGCAGUUUUGGAAGCGGAGGAAGAACAGGUGUUUCCGGGUCUUGAAGUGGAGGUGGAAAUGUUGGGUUAUCAAAAGGAGGUAGAGAAGCUUCUUUGGAACUGAAUUCCCUGGGAUUUUCUCUUCUUGGUUUUUGAUUACAUAAGAACGGUUCUUUUUCAGGCUUGAAGGUGAAAAAACCAGCUGAAAAUAUAUGUGUUCCUUCCUUUCUUGACUUGAGACGAAGUGACGAUGAAGUUGCUGUGGAUGCCACAGCACAAUAAGGCUCACUGCUACUCAGUAACUCCACUGAACAUCUCUUAAUUUUCUCUACAUGUUUGCUAACAGAGAGAGGCAAAUGAACCUUGAAUUCUCCAUGCUCAUCUGUUUUCGCUUCUUCUCUGAAACUGGGCCUUGAUUUCUCAUCUUUGCAUUCUACAGCAACAUAUGCACCUGCAUACAAUAGCCCCCAGAAUCAUUUUCUAUAUCACACUGCAAAACAUAACCCGUAAUAAACAAUGUCAAUCCAAUAAUUAAGGAAGUUGUCGAAAAGAACCUGAAAUGAAGUGACUGUUCUUUGAGAAAUCCUCUUGGAAACACGUGUCGCAGUAGACAGUGCCAACAACAACUGCAGAUGGAAGUUUCUUUCCAUGGCUGGCUUCUGAGGGGUUAUUAAAUGUGAAACCGAGAAGGAAUAUUAUGAAAAACCAAGGCAUUAUGAGUAUUCUUCUUCUUCUCUCUCUACGAUCUCUGAUUUUUUAGAGAAGAAUAAGAGUUGGCAGAGUCUCCUCUUUAUAAGUAGAGCCAAGCUCGACACUUGUUCUAUUAUAGCUGUUUGAGAUAUGAAUGAAUAAUAUACCGUCUUAUCCACCAAGAAUCUUUAUGUCAUUCAUGCAAAAACCAGUCAACUGCAAACCAGCAGCGGUGAAUGUGGUGUAUUUCAUACCAUUUAACAGCUCAAAAGGAGGUAAAUAUACAGGCAGAUAAGGGAAGACUCUAGCUCUACCCUCCAUCCACCUCCCCCUUGUUUUCUUACAUUUAUCGAGUCUGUUCCUUUGCUGGCUUUAAAAUACCAUUAUGAACAGUUGGGUCCCUGUCGGUUCACGAGACAUGUAGAGGAGCCACAAACUUCAUGCGCAUACAACGACACCCUAGCUAAUACCAACAAAUUUGAGAAUGUAGAUCACUUGUAAGAUAUAUGUAUCAAUGCUGUUCACCUUUUGAACUAGUGUAUGGACAGACUUAGGUAGGCUGUUUCUUGAGGUUGUGUUGGAGAUAAAUUAAGACGGAGGAAAUAAAAAUGUGAUAGGAUAAAAAGGCGAAGUUAAAAGGUAUAAUAUAAUAGUUUCGAAGUGACUUUUUUAUUUUUAAAAUACAUAUACAUAUACAUAUAUAUAAUCCCGAUGCUUUCUUCUCUUUUAACUCUAAAUAGUAAUCAACAUUGUUGAAUAUUUUCAAAUUAAACUAGGUAAUGAAGGUUGAUUCAGUGUGUUUUUAUUGACCUAACAAGUUAACCUUCUACCUUAAUCAAAGUCUAAUUUGACUUUUAAGAGAUUUCAAAAUUAUGUGGUUUGAUUUAUUUAAAAAAUAUAUAUUAAAAUGAUUUUGUUUUAGAUUUAUCUAGUCAAUUCAAUUUAAUUUUUCAAAUCAUACUGUUGGAUUAAUGUAAACUUUUGGAAUUUUUUGUUAAUUUUUGCUUUGUUGAAAUACAUGUACAGUUCAUAAAAUGCUUGAUUCUCAUCCAGUUUGCUUUUGCGAAAAAGAAAAAGAAAAAGAAAAAAAGAAGCUGGUUCUUGAGCCAGUGAAAUAUGGGGGAAUCCCUUAAUUUAGCUACUGUGUUUGUGUAAUUAGGCAAAUAAGUCCCUUAAAUCACGUAUUUAUUCAUCACACUCCAUCAAUUUAGCCCAACGAUAAGAAAUUGUAAACAACAUAGGCAGACCUUAUAGGGUAAAUUCGUCAUAGUUUGUUGAAAUUCAGUCCAAUUAGAUUGAAUUGAUAAAGUGUGACACAUAUAAGGUAGAUUUUACAAAUAAGCUUUCAUAAGGGCUGAUCUGCUUAAUUGGCACAAUCAAGGACUAAAUCUUAAGGAAAUAUAAUAAUAAUAAUAAUAUUAAUAAUAAUAUGUCAGUUUUCUGUCGAAAACAAAAAGAAUGAUUACAUGCCCACGGAAAAACUUUGUCAUUCUAUUCGUAAUCAAAUGUUAAAUGCCCAUGGUCUUUUAGGAAGACCAUUCCAUAAGACAUGUGCGUACGACAAUAUUAACUAUAGAGUUUGAUGAUGAAAUAAUUGAAUUUAAUUUUUUCUAAUGCCAUUUGAUUUUUUAGUGAUGUAUAUUUUGUUAUGUGCUUGGAUAUUAUAGAUUAUUUGUAUAACAAAUAUUUGAUUUGAAUAGUGAUUAUAAAUUAAAUAUAACAAUAAGUCAAAAUUCAGAUUUGUCAUAUAAAAAAGGAUGUGACAAUUACAAACUAAACUUAAUCACAUAUAAUGAUAACUUUCCUUUAAAUUUCAUGGAUCAAAUGCUUAAGAUAUUGACAGGUAAGUUUUACUAUUACUUUCUUGAUGGAUAAUAGUUAUAAUUAUAUUGUUAUUGCACUAGAAGAUCAAGAAAAUACUAUUUGUACUUGCCCCUUCGAUACAUUUUCAUAUAUAAGUAUAUUUUUUGGUCUAUGCAAUGCACGUUUUACUUUCAAAUAUGCAUAAUGACUAUAUUUUUACACUAUGUAGCAAAAAUCAUAUAGGAUUUUAUGAAUGAUUUUUUUAUUUAUGGUAAUUCUUUUGAUGGAUGUAUUGAAAACUUAAUUUUUAUUUUGAAAAGAUGCAUGAAAAUUAAUCUUGUUUUGAAUUAUAAAAAGUGUCAUUUUAUGAUUGAACAAAGGAUAGUUUUAGGGUAUAUAGUUUUUUCUAGAGGUUUGGAAGUUGAUAAAAUUAAGAUAGAUACUAUCUUAUCUUUGCUUUAUCCCGUAAAUAUACGAGAAGUUUAUUCUUUUCUUGAACAUGUAGGUUCUUAUCGGAGAUUUAUCAAGGAAUUUCUCAAAAAUAGCAUUUCAAUUCCCUGUGCAAAUUAUUUAAGAAGAAUAUCAAUUUCAUGUUUGAUGAUGCUUACAAGUAUAUGCUUGAUGAGCUUAAGAAGAGACUAACUUUCCCAUCCAUUGUGUAGCCAUCAAAUUGGAAUCUUCCUUUUAAGAUUAAGUUUGAUUUAAAAAUUUUACAUAUUAAGCUAAUACAUAAUUUUUCAUAAAGCAAUCAAUAAUAUCAUCAUAAAAAUGCUCUAAUCUUCUUAAAAACAUUGGAAUAAUUGGGUAAUCAAAAUGCAACUCUUUUUUUCUUAGUUUUUUUUUUAAAGAAAAACUAAAUAGAAAAAAAAAUAAGAUAUUUAGAAAAGGCUAGUCACAUGUAGUCUUGGUCUUCCAAGUAUGCCUGGUCUAAGAAAAAUAAGAUUUAUAUGAGAUUUCAUAUGUUAGUGUUCCUACGUGCCCAUCUCAAUUAAAAGGAAUUUAAAGAAGAUAAAAUUACCACUAAUAUCCUAUAGCUUGAUCCAUUUUACCCUUCCCCAUUAUGUUUUGAAAAACUACAUAUUGCAUCAUAGGUCAAAAGAAAUUUUCAAAUAUGAGAGACUCACUAAAGUACUGUUAUAUAGAUUACAACCAACAAUAGAUCUAAAUGACAUAUCAUUUCUUUUCUCUCAUCGAUUAACACUAUUCUCUUACUAAAAAAUCAAUCUCUCAAAUCUCGACCCUAAAUAAAAAAAAACAAAACUAUUGAUGAAAUUUUUUUUUACCGUAAUUUGUGUUUUAGCAUGAUUGUCUCUACUAGCUAUUAGAACUUCACACAAGUUUCAUAUUGAAAUCAGUAAGAAACAUUAAUAUUUUUUCAAAUCAAGGCUUUGAAAAUUAUUAAUAGCAUGUUGUGUUAUUGUUAAACACAAUUUAUUCAUUUGGUUAGAGGUUUUUUAGUGUUUGUGUAACUAAAAACCCGAAUUUAUGAAUAUGCAUAUCAAUCUCGAAGAUUGUAAAACCAUAAAGAAUCAAUUAUUCUUCUUUUAUCGACAAAAUAAACAUCACAAACAUGAUUUUGCUAGUGGAAAAAUUGUAUUCUUGUUUAUUUUAAAACCUAAGAAGAACCAACAAUUUUAAUUUGAUAGGUCAUUGUUCUUCGAACCAUAAUUUUUAAUCUUAUUUAAAACAUGGAUCAUUGUGCACUAAACCCUUGUAUUAUAUAUAUAUAUAUAUAUAUCCGUUACUAAACCUAAUUAGCUACUUUUAAAAAAACCCAAAUUUUAUUUUAUAUUUACUAUUCAAAGAACCCUAAUUUUAUAAAAAAAUUUACAUAUGUGUUUGAUUAACAUAAUUAAUUUUCUAUUAAAUGUGAUUAACCAUUGUUUAAUCUAAGUAGUAAUUUUUUUAUCCUAAUAAAAAAUCAAAUAUUACAGUUUAUAGGUAUUGUAUAGGCAUCAAUAAUUUACUUAUAAGCUUAUGUUUAUCAUUAAUGUAAUAUUAUAUCCUUUAUUAUAGAAAUAUAAACACAAAAUGUCUUAUAUAAUUGAUCAUCAUGGAAGUUCCACAUAUGUCAAAAGGAAGAAACUAUUAUUCUUACUACAUUUCUUAUAUUAACAUCAUGUUCAUAUGCAAGCAAGUAUAUAUAUAAUGUAAACUUACAUGGCUUCAAUAUAAGAGAUGAUAAAAAGAAUAUGUUUUUGGAUGAUGCGUCAAUGUUAAAGGUAUUGAGUAUGCAUGAACAAGAAGAAGAAAUAUAUAUAUUGAUGAGGAUAUUGAUGUUGCUCCUCUAGCAUAAAUAAUGCUAAGAUACUAUUAAGGCAAGCCUAAUAAUGGUAAGUCAGCUGGUACUGACUACUUUUAUGCUUAUAAUGAUGAAGUUAAGAAAAACAAUAAGGUUAUGAUGUUAGUUGGGAUAAAAGAUUUUGAUUUCAAUGAUGAAGAUGUUGAUGUUGAAGUGGAUUAUGAUGUAGGAGGUUUUGGUGUUGGUGUUGGUAUCAAAGUCGUUGUUAUUGUGGAGGUUCCGAUGUUGGUGAUGGUAUUUAUACUAAAGUUGGUGCUAAUGUCUGAGGUUUUGUUAUUGGUGAUGGUAAUGGUGUUGAUGUUGAAUUGAUACUAAUAUGAGAGGUUUUGUUAUAGGUGAUGGUGCUAAUGUUAAAACAUGUAUUGAUUUUGAUGAUGGUGUGGGUGUUAUUGUGGAUGAUGUUGUUGUUAAUAUAUGUAAUGAUAAUGAGGAUAAUGAAGAGAUAAAAGAUAAGAACUAUAUCUUUUAUGAUGAGAAAGGAUUUGAUUUUGUAAUUGAAGUUGAAGAUGACUGGAUUGAAAACUUGUUUAGUGAUGGUUCCAUUGGAAAGAAUGUAUAUGGUUCUUUAGAUUUAAAAAAAUACAUGAAAUAUUAGUAGUGAUGAUGAUGAUGAUGAUAAUGAUAUUGCAGAUUGUGAGAAAUCUAAAAGUGAUGGUAGUGACGAGUUUGUUAAUAAAGACAAUGUUAAUAAGUUUAAAAAGCAUAUAAAAAUGAAGAUUGAUCCUAUAACUAAUUUUAAAUAUAAAAAGUUUAAGGUUAGAGUUGAUGGUUCCAUUAAGUUUAAAUAAUCUUAUGUUUUCAGCACAAUAAAUGAAUUUAAAGAUGUGUUGAAAGAGUAUGAAGCAAAAAUGAUUAUCACUUGAAAAUGUUUAUUAAUUAGAAACCAAAUGUUACAACAACAUUUAUAGGUGAUUGUUGUCCUUGGCGAAUAUAUACUUCUCUCAUUUCUGGUUUCAAUACAUUCAUGGUUUAGUUCUUAAGAGAGAAACAUGGUUGCAUUUAGCUAGCAAGUAUAAAAGAUGUUAAUUCGACAUGAUUGCAAAAACAGUAUUGCUUAUAAUAAGUGUUGACCCAUAUAUCUCAAAUAAAAUCAUCGAUACCAUUCUAGAAGAUAAGUUUUGGAUUAAACCACAAUCAAUGCAAUUAUAGAGAGCUAGAACAAAGGUGAAAGAGUUUAUCACAUGAAGCCAUAAAAAGUUUUUUAAAAGACUCCCUCAAUAAAUGCAAUUGUUAAAGCAAUGUAAUCUAAGGUCAGAUGUAUUUUUAGGGUUUGAACCUAAUUACAACUCAAAAGUGCAUUCACAAUGGGAGUUUUAGAUGGUUUAUAUUUGCUUGAAAAUGAUGAACAAGUACUUCGUAAAUGGAUGUAGGUCAUUCAUUGGUAUAGAUAGAUGUCAUCUUAAAGGUUUAUGUAUAAAAGAGAUGAUUUUUAUUAUCUGCAAUGGUGUUGAAUAGCAACAAUGGAUUGUUUCUCAUCACAUAUAUUGUUGUUGAGUAUGAAAAUAACAACACAUGAUGAUUUUUUAUAUGCAUUUUAUAGAUAUAUUAAGCAUGACAUACAUCAGAAGACAUUUUGCAUAAUAUGUGUAAAUUCUAUUUUUUAGUAAACUAUGUGUAUAAUGCUUAUAAUGUUUUUUUAUCUAACUGAGAUUUUUAUAAACUAGAGUCUACCUGGAGUAGUUGUAGAGAUAUUCCCCGUUGUUUCACACAUGUACUAUUCAAGGCAUAUUUAUGUCAAUACGAGGAAAAAAGGAUUUCAAGGUUCGGAACUCAAGAUUGGAUUUUUGGAGUGCAUUAAAACCUUACACAAUUCUUAAUUUUGACAAUUUCAUGAAGGAUAUUAAGGAUGUGGGUGUUAGUGCUUUGAAUUGGUUAAAUAAAAUCCCUUUUGAGCAUUGGUUUAGGCAUAUGUUUGACCAUCAAAUUAAGAUAGAGAAUGUAACUAACAAUAUAGCACAAUUAUUUAAUAGUUGGGUUAGGAAAUAUAAAAAUUUGUAAAUUGUUAUGUUAGUAUAAAAAAAAUUAGGAUGAAACUUCUAGCUAGGUUUCAUGAUAAAUUUAUUCAGGCCUCAAUUUGGGAAUCAAAGACCACACCCCAUAUCAAGAAAAUAUAUUGAGAAAGCGAUAAACAUGAGAAUGACUCUAGCUAAAUUUGAUGAAUGUCAAGUAAAUAAAGGUCAACUGGACUUUUUAUUGAUUUAAAGAAAUGAUAGUGCUUUUGUGAUGAGUGAAUAUUGACUGGAAUUCCAUCAAGUAUAUGGUGUCUUGUGUGUAUUAUAAGAGUAUUGAAUUUGAAGAAGUAUGUCAUGCAUAUUACAAUGCUGAAAAAUUUAAAAAGGCAUGCUUUGAGGCGGCACACUUAUUGCUAAAAGCUGAUCUUGACUCAAAGAAAGAAGAUAUAAUUUUUCUUCCUUUUAACUUGAAAAGGAAUGUGGGUAGAUUAAGGAAGAAUCAGAGAGGAAAGGAUGAAAAAAAAUCAACCUGGUACAAUAAGAAAAGGGAUUUCCACACUUAAAUGCAAUAAUUACAAGUAAUAUGGCCAUAUUUCUAAGAAUUGCUUAAAGGAUAGUGCUAAAUAAAUUUUAGGUGGUAGUGGUUGUAGAGGUGAAUGAAUUUAGAGGGGAUCCAGUAGUGAGAGGCUCAAGAGGUGGUAAUGGUGAUGUUGGUACAUCUUUCUCACAACUCUUAACUGAUUCUAUUGUAAUAUUUUGAUAGUUCUAUUAGUUUAAAAUAAUUAUUUACUUUGACUAAUAUAUGUCAUCUUCAAAUGCAGAUUGGUACAUUUAUAUCCUCUCAACAUUCUACCCAAAAUAGCUGCGUUAAUUGAGGAUAUAAAAGAAGAUUGGUGAUUUUAAGCAAACAAUAUUGUCUAUUGAAUUAUUACUAUUUUAUUAUAAUAUGGUUGCAAUAAGUUUGGAUUAUUUUUACUAAAAUGAUGCGGACCUCCUAAUCAUGAGAUCAAGCAACCCCUAACAAAAUAAAUAACAACCUAGAAAGCUGAAAAUCAGGUUUGAUAGAACUCUAACCUAAAGAUAUAAACAUGUACGUAAGAGCCUAAGGUAUUGGGAAAAGACUUGUAUCCAGAGAUAACCUUGUAUCUAACAAUUCUAAGCAUUUGAGUGACGGUACAAAGCCAAUUAAUAUUUAAUAAGUUAGUGUACAAUCUUUAUCCCUACAAAGAAAAGUUAGUUUGCCCUAAACAAACAAAAAAGAAAACUCACGUUUAUUGUUCUACUUGCUGCUAAAAUUUAUAGCUCAAAAAAGUACAAUAUAAUCUCCCCUAACUAACUUUCAUGGACCCUUUUUGAAUUACAAGCUAAUAGGUCUAUAUUAGUAAUCUACUAACAUAAAUUCAAUAAUUAAAUAAACCCCUAAAAAUAUCUAUUGGGCUAGAACAAACUCAAAUUAAAAAUAAUUAUUCAAAAAUAAAUAAAAAUAUAAAGUAGUAUAAUAAAAACAAAGUAUUCAUUCUAAAAUUCCUCAAUAUUAUUAAACUUUAUAAAAUCUAUGGACAUGUUCACAGGUUUAGCUGGUUGAUAUGGUUAGCGAGUUUGGAGAGGUUAACUUUUUUUUUAUUCCAUCUAUAAAUAUUAAGUUAAUUGAGAAUUCAAUUUCAUAAUUGGUUUCAUCUUGCUUUCUAUAAGGUUAUCGUGGUUUUAAAAAAUAUCUUAGAAUUAUGUUGGUGUUUAAUUUUUCGAUUGUUUAUUUUUGUUAUCAUAUAGUUAAAUAAAAAGUAGUUUAAAAAAAAAAAAUUAUAAUCCCAGUAGAAUCCAUAACUCGAUUCACGGGUGUGGCGUGCUAGCUCAGGUUACCUAAUUCACAUGUUUGACGAGAUUACUCACCAACUAGAAAUGUAUUUUUUUGUUCUUUAUUUCUUUUUUUAAUUAUUUAUUUAUUUCAUCCUUUAAUAAUGGAUUGGUUCAAAAGUAGACUCUAUGGUUAUUUUUGUUUGUUUUCUAUAAAGUUAUCACAGUCUCAAAUAAAUGUUUAUUUUAGGGUUGAUGCUUAAUUUUUCGAGCAUUUAUUUUUAUUGUAUAAUGAAACAAAAAAUAUAUAAAACAGGUUAUUAAACCCAAUAUAAUCCAUGACCCAGGUCACUGAAGGACUGAGGUUGAUAUAAUAUGUUAUUGUCUUGAUAUUUUUUUAAAAAAUUAAAUCAUGUUUUUACCAAUCAUUUAUGUUAUCUUUAAAUUUAUAAAAUCAAUCAAUUUAAAUCAGAUCAACUCUUCUUAUGUAGUUUAAUUAAAAACUUGACUUAGUUAAAGAAUUGAAACGAGAAUGAAGAUUCAUCUCAUUGGUCAUGUUUAAUAAGAAGGGCCUCAUCUUGUAUAAAAUUAAUGAGAAUCAAUUAAAAAUCUAAAGCAUUUUUCAAAGCAGAUGAACCAAAAUAAUUAAAAGGAUUGUACCCGUGAUUGUGUGUAUAUAUAUAUAUAUUCACGAUGCAAACGCAAGCUUAUCUUCAGGGCUGAAGAAGGACAAUCACCGCUGAAGGACGUUUGCAUGUGAUAUCAUGAGAUUCGCAGUAUGAACAACGUACUGGAAGAGGGGUUGUGAUAGCGAAAGAAUUGUUCUUAUAUCAAAGAAAAACCGCAAUCUUUUUCCUCUAAUUCCAAAGGCCAGUCUUUAUCUUCACGGGUGCAUUGAAAUUAAACACAAAAAUGCCAAACCUUCACGGGCCCUUUUAGAAUCUAUGUGUCUGGUAGUCAUCUCAUUCUUGUCUGCUUCUCGUGAAUCAUCUACGAGUGCCACCCUUUAUUAAGAUCCACAGCUUGCCGCCAUUCUAACUUUUUUUAGUUUUCUGAUUCACAAACAAAAUCUCUAGAUGAAAUAAUCCAUCAAUUGAGUAUUGAUAUUCUAUUAAUGUACUAGUAAAGUUGGGAUAAUUCAAAAAAAAAAAUUAGAAAGAAAAAAUGUGAGAGACGGUGCAAGCUACUAGAUAGCUGUCUCGCCAGAGCAUGGGGGUUGGUUGCUUGAGGAUAGGAGUUUUGGCUAAACUUGAACUGUGGCUGUUUGCUUUUCUUUCGAGAAAUAUCAAGUCCUUGGAAGAUAUUUAUCUAUGCUUCCUUUUGAUUUUAAUGAUAAAAGGCAUGACGCAAACUAGAAACCUGCUCUCUCUUUCUUUUUUUUUAUUAUUAUUAGUAUGGUUAUCCGGACUGGCUUGCAUGUAUUUCAAAUAAUUCUAUAAUUUUAAUAUUAAUAAUUAUAUAAGUCUUUAAUAGUAUUGAAAGGAUUAUUAUGAUUGAAGAGCAAAUUAGUUCAACUAUCACAUGCUCUCUUCAUUGUAAGGGUCCAUUGUUACUUCUAACAAUCAAAGAGGUUUUUUGAGUUUGUUUUUUAAAGAUUUGUAAUUGUUUUUGCAGCAUAUUAUAGCAAAUAAGUUGAUGGUAUGGAAGUAAUUAUAGGACCAUGGAACUAAUUAAUAGAAGUAAUUAUAAGUUUAAUAUAUCAAAUAAUAACUUUUUUAUUUAGCAUGCAGAUAACUGAUUGUACUACAUUUACACUUAUCCAGUAAUUGUCUUUUCUUCGUGAGAUAAUCUAUCUUCCAGCCAAAAUAGAACUAAAAUGGCUUGCAUAUCUGAUAUGAUAUAUAUUAAAGCACUGCUGGAUCAUGAAAUUCUAUAUGAUCAACUUGGUUUUGAUUUAUUAUAUCUUGAUGUUGACGUUUUCAUGCUGAUAAGGUAAGGUAAUAUCAUGUUUUCUAUAUAAUUUAUUGGUUAUUAUCAAAUUAAUUAGGAUAGUGUUGUCAUUUAUAUUAUAUAUUUUUAGUGUAGUAAAUAAUAUUAAACUAACAUUCGGAGGCUUCUGUCUUUUUUUGUUUUUUUAAGCAUGAUAAAAUUACCUUUAGAAUCAAAAAACUUAUUAAGCUAGAGUGCAAGGUUAUUUUUGUAUUUUCAACUUUUUUAUUAUUAUAAUUAAGUUGAAAGAGGGGUAAUAUAUAUAUAAGUGGUUAGCGUGUGCAACAUACACGCUAGUAGAUGAAAGAUGUUCGUGCCAUUCAGGUAGCGCUUAAGAUGUCUCCAAUAGAAGAAUGAUUAUUUUCAGGGUGAUAUUUGAAUCAUUUUAGUGGCCCCUCCUCCAUUUUUAGAAAGUACGUGUGCCAACGAAACUUUGCUUUGGUCCUUAUAACCUUUUUAUCCUUCGUUUCUCUGUCCCCCUUGAUUUUUAAACCUUCCCCUCUAAUUUUUCAAAACAAACAUUUGAUUUGUUUUUGCUUCAACUUUGUUCCUUGUUUUUCUUAUUACAAUUUAUUUUAGUUGAAUUUUGUUUUCAAUUUCACCUACAUUUUUAUUGUUAUUUCUUGUUUUCUAUCCUCUUUUUAAUUUAAUUUAUUUUUUAAUUUCAUCCAUCAUUAUUAUUAUUACAAUUUAGACUGAACUUGGAACUUGGAUCUGUUAAGCGAUUGUAGAACCAUUCCAUUGCAAAAUAAAGCUGGAAUUGUAAAACAGUGUUAGCCUUGAAAAUGAUCAUAGCAGUUGCAACAAUUAUUUCGCUCCAGCUUACAAGUUUGGUUCAAGCCAUACAACUUCAUUUCCCAUAAAAUGUGAUUACUGAAAAACCAAUGUUUCUUGGCAUGAUACAGCAGCAGGUGAAAUUUCUUUUUGAUUCCUUUCCAGCUUGCUCCUUUCCUUGUACGUGAUUGACUUCUUUGUUCCAAGACUACAUUGUCAGCAUAUGCAUGUGAUUUUGUGUAAUGAAAUAAAGUUAUGAAGUAAAGGUUUUGUUUUGGAAAGAAGAGUGCAACUAAGGGAAUAGGUUGUUUUCAAUUUUUGAAACACUUGAACAGUUCUGGAUUUUAUUUUAUUUUUGCAGUGCCCGUCUUGAUCUUCUUGAGGGGGAGAUUUUUGCCCUAAACCCAAAUUUUGCAUAGAUUAAAAAAAAAUAAAAAUACACCACAUGAUUUAGCAUAUUUUUUAAUAUUAAGAUUCAAGAAAAAUAGUUUUUUUUUUUUACAUCUUUGUAUUUAUUUUUGGAUUUAAUAACAAGUUUCUUAAAUCCAUUAUAAUUUGACCUACAUUUUAAAAAUACCAAAAAAAUCAAUAUUUUUAAUUUAAUACCAAAAUUUAUGAACUCACACGUAAGACAUAUUUCAUGUAUUAAAAGAAACAAAUGCAAAAAUAUGUUUAGACUUUAGAAAAGUUAAGCUUGACCCAUAAUGUCAUUAUUAACUCUACUAGUGUGGACCCACUUCUAACCAAUAAACAAACCAAUUAUUAGAAAAACAUAAUAGUGUCUUAGUGAUCAGAUAAAUAAACAAUGCAACUUACCUUAGGUAAGGUAUAUUAUAGAUGACAUUGUCCUUCCUAUACACAACUAGUUCUCUUACCCAGAUUAUUAAGACCAAAUAAUAUUUCUAGUAACCAAAAUACUAGGUAAUAACUCUAAAUUUUUUUCAAUUCUUCCAAUAAUUAAUCCAAUUUAACCAUUAUUAUACAUUACUCAUAACCUAAUACAUCCUAAUUUCAUCAAUUAACAAUAAAAUCUCAUUUUCCCUAAUUUUUAAUUUUAUUAAGCCAACUAAAAAUAAAAAAACCAUGCAUUAACAUUAUUUCUUUUCAUUGAAACUUUUAUAAAUAGGUUUGAAACCCCUUACCAAACGAUAGAAUGGACUUCAAACAUUAACAUGUUGACUUUUCUUCACUCCUUUUCUUCUUCCUUCACCAAUCCCUUUUUUCUCUAUCUGACCGUCAUUUUCUUUCUCACGUCUUCCUCUCUCAAGCAGUGUUUUUAAAUCUGGCCAGAUUACGGGUUUUAACUAGGUCACCGAGUUAUCCGGGUCAACCCUAAAUUUUUUUAUAAAUCAAAACAACAUCAUUUUGUUUUAAAAAAAUAAACACUUAAUGGGUUACAACUAGGUUUUCGACUAGGUCUUGCCACGUCAACAUGGUUACCGGGUCAGCCGGGUUUUUGAUUUCCCUUAUUUUUUCAUAAACCCAGCCCGGUUCAGGCCCCGAGUCAGUCGGGUCUCAAGUUGACCUGUUGGGCCGAGUUUUAAAACUAUGUUUUCAAGCCCUUCAAAUAAUGCUCCUCUCAUUGGAUUUGCCUACUCUUAUUUUAAUCUCUCAAUUCCUAUGAUCGCACCUUGGAUUUGGAUGUUCACUGAGCCUUUCUCUCUUCCUUUCUUUCUUCAUUUUCCCGCCAGCAACUUCCCAUCAGCUUAAAGGAAAGGAGAGGUAGGUUUUGUGGCUAAAAGACUAUUUUGCACUGAAUGAGCCCAUGAAUUUGUCCAAUAUGUUCUUGUUCUCGCAAGGCCUUUCUAACAUCUGAUUUUUUUGAAAUUCUAACCUUAGGUGGAACUAUGUGUGAAGAUAAUUCACAUAAGAUUUCCUCUCAAUUCGACACUCAGAUUGAGAGUUAUGUUUAAUAUCGUAAAACUAGUCAGUAUGUUAUUUUACGCCAAAAAUCCAAGUAUUUGUACUAUUUUAUCUACUUAAAUCAUCAUUAUUUUCCAAAUAAUUCAUCAAAAACUUUCAUCCCCUUUUAUACUAUAAAUUCUCCUCAACUAUUUCCUCUUCCGGAUUAGAAAUUGUGCGAUUGUACGCAUGACUUAUACCAGUUGUCAAGGUCAUUUACAUGUAAAACCAUACAUUAACUUAUUUAAAAAUUAAUAAAUAUUUUUCUAACUAUUUUCACCCCAAAUUUAUAAACAUUCUACAUAUUUAGUACUAGUUUAUCAAUUUCCCAAUUAGGGGUUUACAUUUUACCUUUUAUGUUCGUGAGUAAUAUUUUCAAAUUCCAUCACUUGUUUAUAUCAAAUUUAAGUUGGGCUAUUUUGAAUUUCAUUGAAUUAUAUUCCGAUACUUUUGUUUCCUCAUACAUCACUUCUAUUUAAUUUUGAUUCGUAUUUUUAUAUAUAUUUUUUUUACCAUUUUUAAAAUUAACACUUGAAAAUUUUAGUUCAAUUUCCCAAAAUCCAAAGUCAUAUUUUUAAUAUUCAAUUUAAUGUCUUUGGCAUAAUAUUUACUUCAAAUAUUUUAUUGAAUUUCAAGAAAUAAACAAGAAUUUAAGGUAGUUAUACCUCUCCUCGUUCUUUCCUUCCCUUGGCUGAAACUCCUCCCCAAGUACAAGCACUCAAAUUUCUUCUCUAUACUUUCAUAAAACUAGGUAAUUCAUGCUCUACUACACCUUAAUUACAUCAUAUCCACACAAUUUCUUAAUUUCCCUAAAUUUCACCUAAGAACCCUAAUUAAAAAAAUCUAAGAAAUAUGCAUUAUAUCCAUUUCCUUUCAUUUAAAAUUGUUUAAACAAGCUUAUAAUUUCUUACCCGAAAAUAAAAUAGACUUUGAAAACUAGCUAGUCAAAGUUUUUUCUACUCAUUCAAAUUUUCUCCUCUUUGUUGUGAGUUACGGAUAUAACUUUCUACUCCCCCUCACUUAGUUUUUUCUUAAAUCUUUGCUUGAUAGAUUGGUUGGUGUUUCACACUUCCUAACUUAUAAAUUUUACCUCAAUGAUUUAUAAUAUUUAGCUUUCACGAUUCUUUUCUCUCUUUCUAUUCUUUAUUUCCAUUUAUGACGACAAAUUAAGGAAGAAUGAGAGGUUGAUUUUUUCAGCUUUAAGUUUAAUUGACCAUUUUACCCUUAAUGAACCCUUUUAAAUUUUGUUUGGUUGUUAAUAUUUUCGUGCAGCCUUCUUGAGUUUCAAUCGUACUGAGAUUUUACCAUACCCUAAAUAAAUAUGUUAUAAGACUCCUAAUAGAAUUUUAGUCUAAUCCAAGGGUCAGAUUGAGAGUUAUGCUUAUAGUGUAAAACUAGUCGGCAUUUAAUUUUAAGCCAAAUAUCUGAAUUUUUAUACUAGUUUAUGUACUUAAUUCAUUUAUAGUUUUUACUAAUUCAUUGGGAACUUUCCUCCCUAUUUAUAGUAAAACUUUUCCUCAAAUUUUGUUCACUUGCGAGUUAAAAACUAUGCGAUUACACGCAGUUUUACAUUGGAGAUCAAAGACAUUCACGCGUAAAACCAUAUAUUAAUUCAUUUGAAAAAUUUGAAAUAAUUUUCUAAAUAUUUUCACCCCAAAUUUAUAAAAGCUAAUUUAUAAAUUUUUGGGUCACGAGUCUAUAUUGUACCAUAUAUGUUCGCUGGAUCAUAUUUCCGAUUCAAACAUAUUUUUAAUACUGAAUUUAAACAGACUACAUCGAAUUUCAUUAAAUUAUUAUAUUCCAGAACAUUGCUUUACCUUUUUAUCUCUUCCAUUUGGUUUUUAUAUGCAUAUCUUUGUUUUUUAUUUUUAUUGUUAUUUUUUCACCAUUUUCAUACUCUUAUUUUUAAGUUAACACAUGAACAUCUUAUUUCAAGUUCCCAAAAUCCAAAGUCACCCUUUUAAUUCCGAUACUCACUUACUUAACAUAAUAUUCUCCAUUAUUAAUUUUGUAAAUUUUAUCUAGGAGUUUACAUAUCAAGUUAGGGUUUAGUCGACAUCCUAGCAUUUGAAAUGGUUGUCAGUAUUCCUGCAUUAAGGUCUUCCAUGGAUUAUCAAAAUACUACUAGUUUUGAUCACUCAAUCUCUCAGUCUAAGUUCAGUUUAUUUACUACCAAUUAUGACCAAGUGAAUUUGGUCCGGUAUCUUAGAAUAACUCUAAAAAUAUACUCUAUGCAUAUUAAUACAUAGGGAUUAGUAGGCAAAGUCUAUGAAAUGUUUGAACAUAAAUAAUAAGCAAUAUAUAAUCUUGAAUAAAGUAUAUAAGAUACUGAAUGGAAGCAUACAACACUGCCCGAGAACUUCUUACAGUGAUAAAACCAAGUAUGACGCUUAUUAUACAUGACUUUUUCUCCUCUUAGAUAACCAGUUGAUACUAUUUCAAAUCCAUUAUCACUAACAAAUCAAAUAGUUUACAGCAUUUAGACAGCCUAACAAUGAAAACAGCCAAGAGAAUUCCAAAAAAAAAAGUGUAUAUAAACUGACCACAAAUUACAGAUGAAUCACCUCCCCUGAACAAUGAAUUUCAUAAAAGGAUUUAUGCAGCCUUCGCAACGAGAACAAGGAACAUGAUUACUUAAUUUAAUGACAACAGAUGCCCUAUAGUACACUAACCAACCAGUCUGUACAAAAUUAGUGGGAAAGGGAGACAAUAGGCCAAGAUACCUCAACCAAAAAGCAGAGUACAGAAAUCCACCACCACCACCACCUCCCUUUACGUUCUAAGCCAAUGGAGGAUGCUUUGACUAGUAUUCCAAUCGAUGGUGCUUGAUUGCCUCUGUCUACCCUCAUGUACACAUACCAAAUCCAUCCAACCGCCUCCUCCCUCAUCCUGCAAACUAAAUAGUAGGAUAUCAUCGAAGAUCUCUUCAUCACAUUCUCAAGUGUAUCCCAUGCAACCCAAAUGUAAUUUUCCGUAUUGACAUGAAAGUGGUAAAAAAAAUCAGUCAAACAAGGAAAAGUGCACAAAGAUCUUGUUCACAUGAGCUCUUUAUCAUAAAAUGCAAGAAGUUGCUUGACGUGAUUAUGCCAAGCAGCAACAUUUUGUCCAUCAACUGUAACCCAGUCAACAACAGUAGAUGCUGGUUGCUCCCACCAAUCAUCAAGCUGCAGAAACAAUGUCAAGGAUUUAUAGCCAGUCGUAGAACAGAACAAAAAAAACAACCAGAAUUACAGUUACAGAUUACUAGAUUAACAAUUCAUACUCAAUUCUUUCCAUCACUUCUGAAACGAGAAUCAUAAGAAAAUGGUGAAAAAUAGGUCAGACGAGAGGGGGCAGAAAAACAUAUAAACCACAAACCUAGACAUGCCAUAUUAUGACACAAAACAACUAUUAAGUCCAAACAUAGAAAGCAAUUUUAAGCGAAGUCGGGAAUUGUAUAAACAGCCUUGUGAGUGAUCAUUGAUGGGCAUGAUCCUUUUUUUAGAACCAAAUAAAGAAUUUUGUCCUUUUGCUUAAGAUAUGGCAACAAAUAUUAAUUCUGUUUGCAUCAGCAUUUUUUUAGGCAGUUAUUUCUUGAGUUUUUAACCUGUCCUAAAAUUUGCUUCUCAAGGGUGCAGCUGAUUAGCUCUUGGAAACAGAAUGCUGCUCCAGCCCAUACAAUUCAUGAAAUCUAAAAAACAACUUGUGCCAGUAGAUAGACACCCAAACUGAUCCAUCUAAUCUUCUCUAUCUUGACUUUAACAUUGUUUCAUCUGCCUGUUUCUCACAUUUGAUUCUUAUAUAACAUCAUAGUAUCUGUUGGUGGAAACGUCAUCAUAUUGUUCUGUAGCCAUUACAUGUCCUCCCCCCACACUCAAGAUAUGAAUGAAUAAUGAAUCCUUAACAUUCAAGGACAUUCCUAUCCUAUAUCCACCAAAACAAGCAAAAAACCUAUUAUGUAUAUUUAACACGACAAAAGAAUACAAUGAAAAGGUGACAACACCCAAGGCAAGUAACACAUGCAUAUGAAGACAAUUUGUUAUAUGGCCACUGCACCUCCAGCAUCUUAUCUUAUUAAAAACAGCAACCUAACAGAUUUCUUGGACUUAGAAAGUGCCUUAGCCUUCCACAUUUGAUUUGCCAAAAGAAAUAGCCAUGAACGAGUGUUUUUCAUAAUGCAAUGACACAAGACUCAGACUCUCAAAAACAAAACAAAAAAAAAAAGGUUUCCUCCUAUAACCAUAUAAACUAAGAAAAACAACCAUGAAAAAAAGACAUGAGAUAUCAUCCAAAGAAUUAACCAUGCUCCAUCCCAUCCCAAACCUACUACAAAAAGACAAUAUAAGCAUGUUUUCUGGUCCCAACAAGGUCGAUGGUCAAGUUUGAUCUACAAAUUCCAGAAAUUAACUUGUUUUGAGAAUCAUAUAUCUUUCUAACUAAAUACCCAGAAGUCCCACUAACCCACUACCAAAUAAAAGAGCCUAGCAACCUCACCAGCUACUGCAACAGACAUCAACACAAUACAAAGCAAAUCUGCUUUUGCAGACAUCUUCAAAUUUUGCUUAAACAACAUCAGUAAUCUAGUCAAUGUCCCUCCAAUUUAAAAUCAAGAACAAGAGAUUAAUGGAUAGUAAAGACAUAAGCAUCUUCAUUCCAACCCAACCCAAAAUCUCAAUGAUCUUUCUCUCUCUUCAUGAAACAACAUGCAGGAAAUGCAACAAAAAAUUAAUACAUUUUCAGUUACAGUAUGUACUCACCAAACCUCUCACGUACUUGCAAUCUUCCAAGCACUUUUGGGCAUUCAAAGCUGUAGUCUUAAGCUCAGGUAACCAUUUCUCCACGACAAUUUUCUCUUGCUCGUUGGCCAAGUCCAAGCAAAAAUUUGUUGUCCUGGAUGACAUAACAACAAAUGUGAAGCUUCUCAGUCUCACAUAAAAAAAAAGGUUAGGAUAGGAAAAGAAAUGGGGUCAGGUUAAUAGGUGCCCUUAAGGCACUCUAAGAGAUUAGUUAUUGGUAAUUUAAUUAUAAUAAUUAGACAAUUUUUUAUUGUGAAUAUUUCAAUCCAGUCACAUUACUACUACAAAAAAAGAAAUCUUUUUUCAGAUAAUUCAUGGGCUGCGUAAUGGUGAGUAGAUAAAAUUUUCAAAAUUUAAAAUUGUCUGAUCGUACAACAUUUACGAUUAAAUAUCAUAAUUAACCUCUUAUGAAGACACCUGUUAGAUUUCCCAAGGAAAUUGAAAAAGAAACCAAAUCCAUGCACAUGAGAUCUAAGUGACUGUUUGCAUGUGUGUGUGUCAGAGAAAGAGAGAGAUCACAUGAAACACAAAACAUAUUCAUGACUCAAAUAGUUUGGUCAUUUACAACAACGUCAGAAAGUAAUUCUAUUGAAGGACAUAAAUCAGGACAAGCAAAUCACUGACAAAAUGGUAGAAACUAGAAACUAGGGGAAAGGUGUUUAAAGGCUAAGUCUAAAAGAGGAGUUCCAUGUCAACAACUGCACAAUUUACAAAUGUUUGUCGUCAAAAAAGAAAAGUGGCAGAAUUGAUAUAAAAAAUAUUUACCUAAAAUGCAGACCAUUUGGAUAAUUACAAUACCACAGUAAAACAAGCAUGCACAUGUCCAAUUGUACCUUUCAUAUUCUUGUUGAGAACGGUAUGCAUGGUUCAACACUGCAUGACCACUUUCAACAAGAUCAUGCCGAAUAUGGACCAGAUUGAUUGCCUUUGCCAAGUCCUCCAACACACUAGCCUCGGAACCACGAAGUUUUAAACAGAACUCCAGGGACUCUAACACUGAAGCUAAACCAGCAUCCGAACCCUCCAAACCUAUUUGUCAUUUGCAACUCACUUAGAACAUAAGAAAAUAAAAGGAAGCACAUACUUUGGAUGUCAAGUCAGUGAAUGCAUUUCCAUUUUACUUCUAUUUUACAUGGUCAAAACCACGUUAUAGUCAACAAAAUUAUAGGCAUAAGAAUAACAUGUAAAGCAACCUUUAGCAGGCUCAGUAUUCAGAAAUGCACAUAGAACAGACCACAUUGCAACCAGUGGGAAGAAGUCGUCAACUCAAAUAUUCAAUUCCGCUAAAUAUAUUGCUGCUGCUCAAACUAAAUACCAGGAAUCCACAUAAACAUUCAAUUCAUCACUAAGCAGUGAUCAAGGAACAAUACUUCUUAAUUAAACUUAUGCGGCGACAGUUAACUGUUAUGCAUGCCAACUGGUAAUACUACUCUUUUCCUUCAACAAUUAUCAUGCUUCAUUAGUAUGACAAAAAUCUUAACUUGAAUGUAGUCCACCAAGCUUUGAUGAAGAUAAUGAAUCCUCUGCAAGAAAUAUCCUCUGAAUUUUAUUUUAUUUUUUUCCUUGAAAAUCGAUAUAAGGCUAUUAAAGAAAAGGCACAAUUAUAUCAUUUUAUGAACAUGUUCAGCUCUUAACCCAAAUGUUCUUCUUUAUUUUUUUUUCAAAGCUUCUUGGAGAUUAUUGGUCUUCCACUUCAGUGAGAGAUCAGCCUAUGCAAAUCUUCCAGCUUGCCAGAUGCAACUAGAUCUAAAAACCUUUUGCACAACAGGAAUCGUUUAAGUGGAACCCUGACAAAUGAAUAUGCCCAAAGUCCCAACCUCAGAUAUCACACAUGACACCCAGCCCAAACAGCUAUCCAAAAUCCAAAAAGAUAGCCCAGGACAAGCUUCUAACCUUCUAUAGAAAAGUAAGAACUUACCAGCAGGAUACUGAAGGGCAGCAGACACACGGCAUAUGGAUGGGAUUGCUGAUGGAUCCCUAGCACCAGCUCUUGCUGUCAAUAAAGCAGCAUUCUUCUCUGCUGCAGCAGCAGCAACUUCAGGUCCUGUAGAUCCAUUAGAACCCAUGGACUCCAACAGUGCCUGAUAGAAUUUAAUUAAAAAAUAAAUUUCUUUUAGCAUGAAUAUACAACUAAAAAUACUGCAAUAUUUGAUACCAGAAAACCAACAUGCUGUUUCAAUUUCACAAACCUGUGAAGUUGAAGGAAGCAUGUAAAGACUAUUAUCAGGACAUCGCGAGAAGGCAUUAACUUCAUUAUCAAUAAGAUCUUUGGCACUGUUUGCAAUGUCCACAACAAUUGUACAUGCUGGGAUGAUAGUAAUUGAUGCAUACUCCCUUGCAAUCAAUGGCUGUCGUUUCCAGAAUGCUGCCGCAUCCUAGGAGUCAAAUUAAAUUUUUACAAGUAUUAUAAUUUCACACAUAUUUCUUAAGAGCUUAACAAGGCUGCGAAAGCAAUGGUUAAAACAAAUGGAAAGGAAGAAAUCCAAAAAUUAACAACAAAAUGUAAUAUAUCCCCAUUGCGCGCAUCCAUUUCUUUUGAGUCAUUUAUUACUUUAGGCUGAAAUAGUUAAAUCAUCAGCAAAGUUUAAUUUUAGCAUACAAAAGACAAGUUAAGCUAUGCUACUCCGAUUUGAACAGACAACCAAAAAAUUUCAACAAAAUGUGAUGCAUCCCCAUUGUAUACACCCAUUUCUUGUGAAACAUAGAAAACUUAUUGCCUGGGACAUUAAAAUCACCAGGUUGAAUUAUAGCAUAGAAAAGGACAAAUUGAGCUAUGCUACAAAAGCAUGCAGACAAGCGCACACAAAACUCAAGGUAGUGAUCUCCAUCAGGAAACAUUUGACCUACAAGUCUUCAUAAUUAAUUCUAACACGUGAAUUAACAAUAUCCAGUCAUAUGAUUAAAUUAAUUAAAUGUCAGAUAAACUAAUGCUUUGAGUUCUUCAAAAAUCUUCAAAAUCAAAUACCUCCGUGUUAAACUUCAGUAGAGUGGUAUAUAUAGCUUCAAGUUCAGAUCUGCGUGCAUCAAACUCUUCAAUCUUCUUCCACUUCUUUCUCAAAGAAUCUUCAGCUUCUUUCCUCUCUGCACACAAUUUAUUUAGGCGUUGUAUUUCAGACAUCAAUGUAUUCAAGCUUGUCCUCAGUCCAGCAGCUUCCCUCUCCUUGGCCCAAACCUCCAACUGCACAGAAAAUAUUGGACAUUAGUUAAAAAGGAAUUUCAAAAUGUAUCUUUAGCAUAAUGAACGGAUUAAAUGAGUAUUAGAUAAGUAAAAAUGUAUGGCAUACUUGCAUUAUGAUGUCUUGGAUGUAAAUUUAUUGUACACUUAAUUUAAGGUACAAUAGCAUUAACCAUUGUUUUUGAAGCUUCUGUGAGGUCAGUGCCUUGAUAUCACGCUGAAGAACUAUAUAAAUGAACUUCAAAGUGAUGCUGCUAGUGUAAGUGCAAGCAGUAUAGAUUAUCUUUCAAAGUGAUGCUGCCUAGAGUAAGUGCAAGCAGUAUAGAUUAUCUGUGUGUCGAGCAUGAGUAUUAUUAUGUUGCGCCCUUCAAGAAAAUAAGUUCAUGUGCACGAAUGACACAUCAUCACUAGUUAGAAGCAAGAUGGUUGACAUGAAAAAUUUCAGAGCAGAGAAGAACAAAUGGUUCUAGAUAUGUUACAGCAGAAAACCAACACUUUCGCAUGCCAAGUAUAUCUAACAAUCUCAAUCAGUAGGAACUUCAAUGAAAUACUCAAAUUUCCAUAACCAAACACUGAAAAACAGGCUAGUAUCAAAAGCAAGGGAUAAAGCCACCAUGUCAUCGUAGCAUUGUUCAAGACCUUCACGACUAUUAACCACAAAUCAAUGGGAGCAAUUACCUCGAAUUGCCUCAGACUGCUCAUGUUCUGUGUUGUGCCUCCACUAACAAUUGAGUUGGAAGAAACUUCAUCACCAGUUCCAUGCAAUCGUUUUAAAAGCUUCUGACACAAGUCCCUGGCUUCUGCAGCUUUAUUGAGUGCAUCUUCAGUGGCCAAAAAUUGCUGAACAUGGGCUUUCUGAAAACAACCAUGGAAAACAAUGUCAAAUGAACAGCUCCAGACACGAGAGUGCAGAUAUAAAAGCAAUAGCAUAAAAUAACAAAAACAAAAUCAAAUGCAAAAGCACCCACUAUAUAUCCUUUCACAAUAGGAGGGUCUUAACCUGUAAUAUAUAUAUAUAUAUAUAUUAUUGCUUUAUAUGAAAACUAAAAGGUAAAUAUAUAUAUUGCUUUAUAUGAAAACUAAAAGGUAAAUUUCAAAUACAAAAGCUACCAUCUAUAAAGAAGAAAACCUGUCUUUCAAGAAGCUGAUUUUGUGAUCCUCUAUAAGUCAUGUCUGUUGCAAUCGUCCCAUAGCCAUAAAGCUGGUGGUGUAAUGAUGAGUUUGUGUCGGUAGAAGAAACAUCCAUUACUCUGUUGUUCUCGUAUUUGUAUCUGAUCAAGCAAUUUAGAAUUAUUGAUCAAGUAAAAGGAACAUUCAAGUCCUUUAUGUUAUUGACAUGUACAGUAAUAAACAACAACAGAAUCCAUAUUAGUGUGGAAGAAUCGCGAGACAAUUUGCAUAUUCUUUAAUGUACUUACCAUGUACUUUGGAAACGACAAUAACAAAAAUUGACUAUAUCAGUUACAGUAAGUGUAACAAAAGUUAUCAGUCUUUUUGCAUGUAAAUACAACAUGAAUGCAUGAUGCAUGAUAGUCCUUGUCAAUUUGAAGAAAAUAACAAGAAUAUCAUUUCAAAUGCCUUGCCAGAACAACUUCUAAACAGACUACUUCCAUGACUGCCUUAGUCAAUUCACAAUAUACGAGUAACACACACCUACAUGACUAAGAAAGUACAACAUUUGUUAUGGGGGACCGGAUCAAGCACAUGAUUUAUCACAACAAAACAAUUGCUUUUAGGUACUAUUGCACAUAGUGUAAUGGCCACAACAAAAAACUUAUCUUGCAAUUCAUUGUGACUUGUCUCCAUCAUAUGCAUUACAAGCCUAAGCCCCAAUUCAGUUAAUGAGAAGUUAAGCAGCUAUCCACAUUUAUCAAUUACAGGAAUGAUCAAUGAAUUAAGGCAACAAAGAAAUUAUUACAUUCUACAAGUAACAAGAAAUCUUGGUGUGAGCAGGGUCAAUGGCCACUCCAACAAUCUGACAAAAAUUGUACUUACAUGAGCCAACAGAAAUGGCAAGAAAAUAUGAACGUACCUUAAGAGUUCUGCAUCAGCUCUAACAUCAGUUUUUUCAAUUUCUCUAGAAACCAAAGUUUUCAGUCGUGAAGUGUAUGCAGUAAUUGCCCGGAGUAAGAGAGGAGGAUUCUUCAGGCAAUUCACAAUAACAGUUCUAACAUCAUCAGGUAUUUCCCCAUCAAAAUCAAUGGCCAACUUGGCUGCUUCUGAUUGAGGAUUCAAAUGAAUGCCCUUUCCUUCAUAAGCAGGGAAAGAGUUGCGUAUUCUCUCGACCAUAUAAACUGCAAGAGAUUCACAUGCCUUCCGGAUAUUUCUUUCACAAGUUGUUUCAAUUAGAAUGACAUCAUCAGCAGAUUUAGUGCCCUUAACGGUUGAAUAAACAGCUUCCUUCUCACUGUUUGCACUGAAACUGCUAACUUCUUCAAUAGAACUGUCAAUGCUUGACCUUUGAGCAUCCCUCGCUUGAUCAACAUGUUGAUGAAGACGUUUAUGAUACUCUGCAAAUAUUUUUGCUGCCUCAUCACAUUGCUGGUGGUAAGCCUCCAGCAUGACCUGUUUGUGCCUGCAGCCCAUAGGACACGUCACAAGGGUUAGGAUGGAUUACAUCCUCAUCAAAAGGAUUCCUCUUUAAAAUUGUUACUCAACAAAACAAAAUAAAUCACUGUCACUCCCUAGUUGUCCUUUCCCAUGAUAAAGUGCCUGCUAAGAGGAUCAGGGGUUUACAAUUCAGACACCAAUAGAUUUCCAAUGUAUAUAAUCAUGUCAGAGUCUGCAUCCCUCAAUAGCUUCCCAGAUAAUUGAAGUUCAAUAUCAAGUUUCACAAAUGCACAUGAAACUAUUAUAAUCAGAAAGGAAAGGCCUUUAUGCAAAGCGGCAAUGUUGACUUGUGCUUUCUACCAAGAACUGCUAUAUAAUUGAUAUGGCCAUGUAAUAUGUAUCCAAGCAAAGCAAAUUUGUCCAUAAGAAUUUAUAGAAUUAAGUGAUAGAAAUCUUUUACUUUCAAAGGAACAACAUGGUCCAUAGCAGUGCAACACGAAACUUCAACGAAAUAUGUGUAAAGAACAAUAGGAACUACAAUGAGCGGAUGCCAACCAUCAAUCUAGGUACACAAGUUUAGGAAUGAUCAAUAGCAACAGAAUCCAACUAAUCCUAGUUGAUAUUGUCACUCCAUCUAAUCUUGAACAUGCCCUCGUGAACUUUUUACUUCUAGAACUGAACAUGGAUUUUUGCAAAACAAAUUUUACAUUUCCUAUGCAUCCAGAAAUGGGAAUUUUCAACUUAAUUCCCACCAAUAUUAACAAACAAAAUUCUUGCGUUCCUCUCCAAACCAAGAAAAAAACCCAUCCCGGCCAAACCCCACAUUCCUCUAAUUUCCUUGGUUUUUAACAAUAAAGCAUACAUUAAUAAUUUAAAUUAAUCAAUAAACCUAGAGAAUCAAUUUAAGAUCUAUCCCAGCAUGCACGAACAAAUAUCCUGAGAGAAACUAAUUGUCCAUUCUUAUCAAAAACCAUCAAAUCAAAGAUCAGAUUCCUUAUCAAUUAAGCACACCAUGAAUCACUUUAACUAAUCAAUAAUAAAAAAAAACAUAUGCGUCAGAAAAAUGUUAAACAAGCGAACCUAUUCUUAGCACGCUCAUCAAGCAUACGCUUCCUCUCCGCCUCCUCCCUCGAAACCUCAAUCAUUCUAGCCCUGAAAUCCUUCCUCUGCCUUCUAACAAUACCCCUCAACCUCUCAACCUCCUUCGCCGCCAUUUCCCUCUCUUGCAAUGCCACCUCCCUACUCUCCGGCAUGCUCGAACCACCCCCACUCUCCCCGCCCACCUUCUCCUUCCUCCUCCCUCCUUUACUUCUCCCCUCAUCUUUCCCAGCAUUUACCAAACCACCACCACUACCAUGUACCAAUAUGUUCUUCCUUAUAUUCUCCACCGUUUUCUCCGAUUUCACUCUCUUUACCAAAAACCCCCAAAUGGGUAUCAUAUUUCCACGACAAAUUUUCCUCAUCGCAUCAAUUGAAGGCAAUUGAGAUUUGCUUGUGGUUGCACUGUACGGUCCUAAUGGCCUAUACCCCAUCUCCUUUUGCAACCAUUCUAGUAUGGCCUCCGGUUGCGCCACUGCGCUCGAUGACCCCUGCAUUGAACACUAGAUUUCGAUUGCUUCUUCAACAACGAAUUUUUUUAAACACUACUAAGAUUGCAGCAUUCUUAAUCUAAAAGUUUACAAAACCCUAAAUUCUUCGAAUAAAUGGUUUCUCUACAGAAACGCUAGAUUUGCAGAGAAAGACAAGUAGAUCAGACAAAACGCCGGUUGUGUUCGGCCGGCAAUUCAGUGCCCGUUUGGCACAGUUAAACUGUUUUUCAUUCAAAUUUGAAUUUUUUUUAAAAAAAAUUAAUUUUAGUAUUUUGAUAUAAUAAUAAUAAAAAUAAAGAAUUAUUUUAAUAUAUUUUAAAAAAAUAAUAAUAAUUUUGAUCACAUUUCUAAACGCAAAGAAAAAACGCAGAGAUUCGGACAGAGAGAUUUUUUUUUGUUCUGAGGAAGUAACUGUUUGGAGUUAAUUUUGUAUUAUUGAUGUAAUUAAAUUAUCAUUUUUCUUUCCUUCCCUCAAAUAAAAUAUGCACUCUACUCUAAUCCUUCUGGUUUUUCGAGUGCUACGUGUCACUUACUUGACUAGUCACAUCAUGCUAAUACUUUUAUGUUAAUUUUUAACAUAAUAAAAAAAUCUUUGGAUAUAAUAUUUUUUUAAUUAAGUAAUAGAAAAAUGAUGUUUAUAUUUAUUAAAAUAAAUAUAAAAAACAUAUUAGUUGAUAAAUUUUAUUUUAUAGAUUAAUUUUAAUUGCUAACAACAAACAAUUUUCUCUUUUAUAAUUAUAUAAAAUAUAAGAAAAAAGUGUUAUGAAAUUAAAAAAAAUAAUUAAAAUAUUAAUCAAUAUUUUUUAAAAAAUAAACUAAACAAUUUUGAAAAUAAGAGAAAGUAUUUAUUAAAAUUUUUAAAAAAAUAAUGAAAAGUAAUAGGAGAAAGAGGUCUCAUGCGAGGUUCGUGUAUCCUUUUUUUAAAGAGUUUUGCUCCAUUCCUUUUUUCAACAAACAAUAUGCCGUUCGUUGCAAUAAACUAUUUUUUAAUAAUUUAGAAUUUAAUUGAUAAAUUAUUAGGUCAUAAAAAUAGUAUUUUUAUUUAAUUAAUUAUAUAUUAUUUACUUAGAUAUGUCGCCUGUUUUACAUCGCAGGCCGUGACAAAAUGGAUGCUCAUGCGGCAAUAGCAUUUUUUAAAAAUUUGGGACCGGGUCAAUAAUUGGAAUAGGUUUAGUAAGUUUAAUUAAUUUAAUAAUGUAUAUAAUUAUAUAUAUAUAUAUAUAUAAGAAAAGCCAAAGACAAUAAAAAAAAUGACAAUGCUAAUAAAAAAAAAUAUUUGUUAAUAUUAUAAAAAAAAUGUUAAAGAAUAAAUUGAAAAACAAUUACUAAAUUUAAAUAAAAAAAUAAACAAAAAAUCAAAGUCAAACCGGAUUAAUUUUCAAAACUCGUGAUUCGAGUCAUAAAAUCAGGUUACUUCAUAAAAGAUAAACCGAAGAAAAUCAAAAGGCAAAAUUAUCAAUCAUUUAAAAUUAAAAAAUAAAAUAAUUAUCAACAAAAAAACCAAUGAAUAAAUUUGAUAUAAAAAUUAAAUGAAAUUAAACAAUAAAAAAUGAAAUUAAAAAAAUAAAAAUAAAAAUAAAAGAUGACAAUUAAAAUAAUGAAUACAAAAUAUAGGAUAAAAAAUAAAUAAAAUAAAAGAAUACAAAUGAAAUUGGCUAAGAACUUAGAGCGUGUUUGGUAGUGUGGUAGCGGUUGUUUUUCAAAUAACUUUUCGUGCCGAAAUACAUGUCAAUGAUGUUUUUUUAUUUUUUAAAAAAUCAUUUUUGAUAUCAGCACAUCAAAACGAUCCAAAAAGUACAAACCGAACUUAAUUUUAACAAAAAAAAAAUUUCAAAUUUAGGCAAAACGCAGGUACAAACGCUGCCUUAGUGACAAGACCUUUAGAGGGAAUAAAUGUACAAGUAUAAUUCUAAGAUGUGUAAUUUAAUUGGUUAAAUUCUAAGUUUGUUUUUCAAAUAUUACUAGUUUGAGUGUUAUAAAUUUAAAAAUUAUUAAAAGUAUAAUUAGUUAUUACUUUAAAAUCUUAGGAAAUAGUCGAAGUGUAUCUCUAAACAACCAUAAUGAUAAAAAAAAAAAAAAAAAAAAAGGUGCGUGUAUAGGCAUGCACAAAACAAAGACAAACUGUACCGAUGAUUUCACCAAAAACAUCAGGGCAGCGUCAAAUCAUACCCUUACAUCCAGCCUUGUGCAUCUGAAAUUCCAUCUACAAGGAGUUUUAACAAAAAAAAAAAAAGGGGCAUUGGAAACUAUACUCGUAAUAUCGUGAACAUCCUAGCUCAAGCAACUGGAAAUUAAUAAAUUAAGAAAGAGGCUGCGCCUUUCCACGAAGAACUAAAACAAUAACUUAGAAUUUGGAAUCCGUUCAAUUUGGAAUCCGUUCUCAACACUCAAAAUUAAUCUUAAUCUGACUGAUUCAUUAGUCAUAAUCAAAUCAAAUCAAAUUGGGUGUCCUGUCUUCCAUCAUCGUAUAACAAUGUUUUUAUUUAUGCCCAAUAAACACACUAUACUAUUAUAAUAACAAUUACUUUUUAAAAUAUUUUUUAUUUUUAAAAAAAUUAUUUUUAAUAUCACAUAUCAAAAUAAUUUAAAAUCAUAAUUAAUUUUAAAUUAAAAAUUUAGAACGCAAUACCAAAUUAGCCUCCGCAAUGUAAUACUUUUGGUCAAGUGUGAAAUCAAAGCAAGUAUCCUAAUCCACGAUAACCUAACACCCAUAUUUUAUUUUAUUUUAUUUUAUUUGUGUUCAUGAAGCUUUCACAUUGAAAUGGGCGACCCCUUUUCAAGCACGAGGAUAAUAAAAAAAUUCCAGCAUGGAUGUGAUCCUCCAUCUCUCUUGAUUUCGACCCCCAAAAAUCUCAAAGUUUUUUCUGUAGAUUAAUCGACAAUCUCUAAAGGGAAGUCGCCACUUGGACUCAGCAAGAGGAAAGUUUCAAGCGUGUGGUUUGAUGGAUUAUUCAACCAAAAGAGUUUGAUUGACCAUUGACCAUAACCAUGCCUGCCAGCCAUCGUAAACUGCACUGGAAAAUGACCCUCUUUACCCCUUCUAUGGAUUUUGAAUUUUUAAAUUCUGGUCCCCCCCAAUAUGAAAUUUAAAUCCCCGGGAAAAAGGUCAAACUAAUUGCUUGAAAGGAAAUACAUUCGACUUACCUUUUUUUCUUUUCCGUAGCGCGGUUUAAUUAUAUUUUUUAAAAAAUUAAUUGGAUUUUUUAAAAUAUUUUUAAUAUACUGAUGAUAUUAAAAAUAACUUUUUUUAAAAUAAUAAAAAAUAUAUUUUUAAUAUAUUUUUAAAAAUGAUCUCAAAGAAUAUUCAACUUCAUAAUUUAGAGCUUGUUUUAUACCACACUCUCAAAUAGACCCUUAAUAUAAUGAUGAUAUUAAAAACAAAUUAUCACUCUUAAAAAAACCUUAAUACAGUGUUUAGCUUCAUAACUUGCCUAUUUUAUAUUGUGGUAGAAUUUGUUUUUCAAAGUAUUUUUUAUUUGAAAAUACAUUGAAAUAGUGUUUUUAAAAAAAAAUUAAUUUUGAUACCAAUUUAAAAACAGUAGAAAAAAUUAAUUUAAAAUAAAAAAAAUUAAUAUACUCUUAAUACAAAAUAAAUAUACUCCGUACAAUACAAGGUGUUGAUGCUCUCAUGGGAACACUACUUGUAACAUUCUUAAAAACAGGCAAGAGAACUUUAACCUCCAUGAUAAUCCAACAAACAACUGCAGCACCAUCUAUUUAUAAUUUUAUAACAAAUAUCGUCCUAAUUAGAUUCUUGUACGUGUCCUAUACUUGACCGUCUAUGCUCGGCAUGGACAGGUCUCCCACAAGGCGCCAUUUUAGAGGGUGCUUGAGUUUGUAUAUUAAGAAUAUUUUUUUUUACUUUUGAUAUUAAUAAUUUUUUUUAAAUGAAUAUAAAUCCUUAAUUGAUGAUUUUUAAAUAGCUUCCUUGCACUACCAAACUAUUGUUAAGGAUUUGAAAUAGAAGGGGAUUCGAAAAAAUCAAGUUUUAAAUGAACAUUAAAUAUAUCAUUAAAUUAUUAUUCUUUAUAUAAAUUUUACUAUUAUAUUAUUUCGAUUUGUCUAAUAAGAAUAUUUGUUAGAAUUACUAUAUAUACACACGCACACAAUCUGAAUAAAAUUAUUAGCAUGACAUUUUAAAAAUGAAUGUAAAUCUUUAAUUGAUGAUUUUUAAAAUUUGAAGAUAAAAGGGGAGCAAAAAAACUGAAAAAACAGUUAAAUCGAGAAAACCAGAAAAAUAAUAACUGAAAAAACCAAACUGUAAAAAAAGCUGAUUAGAAUUUUGAAAAAACUGGCCGGUUUGGUUUCGGUUUUAUAAGUAUGAAACCAAAAAAACCAAACCAAACCCAAAACGGAAAAAACAGAGCCAAACUAGAAAAAAACCGAACCAACCGGAAAAACUGAGCCAAACAAAAAAAAUUGAGUCAAAACAAAAAAAAACAAGUCAAAUCAGACAAAACCGAGCCAAAAAAAAAAAAGCAAGCCAAACCAGGUUUUUUCUAAAAACCCGAACCGAAUGGAAACUGGUUGGUUUGAACAUGUUUCGAUUCGGUUUCAGUUGUUUUUUUUUUUAAAAAAAAGAAUUUGAUUUGAUUGCUUUCUUUUAAUAAAAUCUAAAUCGAAUCGAAAAUGAUCAAUCCACCUAAAACUAAUAUAAAAAAAUUAUUUAAUGGUAACAUUGAGAGUAUAUUAAUAGUUGGAUAGUUGGAUGGUACUUUAAGGUUUGUCUAUAAUUGUUUUAAUUAAUGGGUGAAUGAUUUAUUUAAAAUUCAAUUGAAAAAUAUCCGGUCCUUAACUUUUUGUACAUAAAAUUAACUAGAAUUGGUCUCGUUCCCUUUUUCAAUCUUUUGAAUUCAAAUUUUAGAAUUAAUACCUAUAUUUAUGAGGAUAUAUCUUUUAGAUAAUUUAAAUAGAAUUUCAAUUUCAAUUGACAAAUGAACGCAACCGAAAAGAACUGCUUCCACUUGAAAAAAAAGAAUAGAUCAUAAUUUAUCCAGCAAAAAGUUUUUUGCUGCCCAAGAUAGCAUGAGUUCUAACCCAACAUAUUGCAAGGAACAAUACUGCCAUCUAUAGACGGAAUUAAUUAUUUAAUAAUGGAAACUUUAUAAUGAAAAAUUAAAAACUAAAAGAUAAAAAAGAUUUGAUAUUUAAUAUUUUUAAUUAUUACUUGGUAUUUCUUAAAUAUUUUUUUAUAUUAGAUUGGAGAAACUCCUAUUUUGAAUAACAUAAAAUUUUUAUUUUUUAUUCAACUUUGAAAAAAAUCCUUGAAUGAGCUUAUGAUAAACAACUCAUAAAAAAAUAAAAGAUAAAAUGAAGUAUAAAAAUAAAACAGCAUAACAAUAAAUGACACAAAAUUGUAUAGUCAAGUAACUAGAUGAUUGGUCGUGCUAUAGGUUAAAAUAUUUUUUUAAUAUAAAAAAAUAUUUAGAUAUUACUAAUAUGUAUUUUAGUAUAAAAACAUUAUAGCAAAAGCUAAAAAAGCUCAGUUUUUUUACCAUGGACUAUAAGUAUUUUCAAUGUAGAUUAGAGUAGUGUUUAUUGGGGAGGAGUUGGUUGGUUCUCGUGAUAAGUUGUGAGCGGUUUGUUUUUUGCUAUUUUUCAUGGUGUGCAUAGUGUGCUAUAGUUUACCGAGUUGUUUGUUGUCAGUGAGUAUUUGAUGGCCUGUCAUUCUCUUGAUUUGUUUAGUAUGGAGGGGCUGGUGGUUAGAUAUAGACCUUACCUGUGAUAUACUCGGUUGCGUGGUAAUUCUUGGGAGAGUGCUGGUCUAGUGUGCUGGAUAAGAUUUUGAUUGAUUUUGCAUGGGAUAACAAUGGUUUCUUUGUUGUUUCUUUUUGUUUUGGGCAGGUAUAAAUGCUCUAUCAUUGCGUUAAGUUGGUACAAAUACUCUACGGUUGCGUUAGGUUGUUUAUUCUAAUUUAUUUAUUUUUUGGAUUUUGCUAGAUUCAAGGGAUUACAGGUGGAUGGUUUUUGCGUUUGAAAUUGAUUGGAGCAAUCAUGCUUAUUUAUUUAUUUAUUUUAGACACGCUAAUCUUAAACACGUAGGGACACCAAACCCAAAUAACUUGGGUUUCGGAAAGGCGUUAAACCUAAGUAACAUGGAUCUGACCGGAGCGCCUGACAGACCCGCUCGCCUUGGUUUGCCAAACUCGUGCUUGGGUCUGGCAUCACACAUGGUUGCCAGACCCUAGCAUUUUAUAUUUAUAAAUUUGUUAUUAAUUCAAUAGAAAUUCUAUUAUUAAUAUGAUUAUUAUUAGUGUUAUUAGUAUGAUUAUUAUUAUUUAAAUAAACUUGAGUCAGACAUGUUUGCUAGAUCCAAGUAACAUGGGUCAAAAAAUCAUUUAUAAACGAAAUAUAAAUAAUUUAUAAGCAACAAACCAUUACAAAAAUCUAAUUUAACGUUUUAUAUCUAAAAAUUCAAGUCAUAUUUUUCUAUUGAAAUAGUUCAUUUUUUAUAUUUAUGAAUUUGUUAUUUCUUCAAUAAAAAUUUGAUUUUAUGGUUGUUACCAAUAUAUUUUUUGUUCAAGUGUAUUUUGUUUUUAAAAUAUAUUAAAAUAAUUUGAAAAUAUAAAAAAAUAAUUUAAAGCAAACAUAUUAAAAUAAAAAAAUUAUUUUUUUUCAAAAUUAUUUUUGAAAUGCAAUAACAAACACGUUAUAGUAAUCAUGCUUUUCUUAUAAAUCUAUAACUAAUAAAAAUCUUGGGUCUGACAUUGCUGCGAGACCCAUGUCUCUUGGGUCUGGCUAGGCCACCAGAUUGAAGAGACUUGAGUGUGCCUUGGCCGCCAGACCCAAGUUUCUUUUAAAAAUGUAAAAUAUGCAUUUUUUAUUUUUUAAAAAAUUAUUAUUGACCCACUCUGGAGAACGAAUCAAUACACUAGUUUAAACUAUAUGAUGAUUGAUAUGAUGUGAAUUGGUAGUCUUGACAUAUCCAAAGACAACAUGUACGACAUAUAAAAAUAUAGUUUGAUUAAAAAAUAUAUAGUUUUAUUAAAAAAAAUCAAGAUAAUAUUUUAAAAAAAUAAAACGAUAAUAUAUUAAAUGGAUUGAGAUCAACUUAGGUGAAUUCAUCAAAAUUGCUACCAAGAUCAUGAGACCAUGAUAACACUAUAGAAAAAAAUAUUAAAUCCAAUUUUUAAUCAAUCCAAUGUUAAAUGAUGAAAUUAAAAAUAAAAUUCAACUAAAAAAUAAGUUAGAUCAACUCAAAUUAACCUGCCAAACUUUAAUCAUGAGACAAGAAUAACCUCGUAAAAAGUAAAUAAAAAUAAAUUAUGAUACUUAAUUUUAAAUCAACUCAAUGUUAAAAGAGAAAAUAUAAAAAACUUAAUUAAAAAAAGACACAAAAAACCAUACGAGUCUACUGACCAAAUCCUUAACCUUGAUUAUGAGACUAAGAUAAUCUUAUAGAAUACAAACCAGAACAAGUUAUGAAACUUAAUUUCCAAUCAACUCAAUAUUAAAAAAUAAAAUUGAAAAAAAAAUCCAACUAUAAAAGGACAAAAAAACCCAAGUUAAUUAGCUUAAUUCGUGACCCGAAUCAUAAAACCAUGAUAAUAUUAUAAAAAAUAAAUCAAAAUAAAUUAUGAAGUUUAAUACCAAAAUGCAUAUUAAAAAAUAAAAUUAAAAAAAUUCAAAUUACAAAAAUACCUCAAAAAUUUUGAGAAUAAAAAUUAAAAAAACCUUUGUAUUUCUAUGAUGAAAUUUGCCAAGGCCUUGAAUACGUUAAUAAUCAAUUAAUAUAUUAUAAUAAUCAUAUAUUAGAUUUUUAAUUUUUUGUAUUUGGAGUGGAUUUAUUCUACCACCCUCCACCAAAGAAAGGACAGAUAGGAGGUAUUUAAAAUGAUAGUAAAGAUUAUUUUUUUAUUUAAAAAUAUAUUAAAAUAAUAUCUAUUUUUUUAUAUUUUAAAAUUUAAUUUUAAUAUUAUCAUAUCAAAACAAUUUAAAAAUUAUAAAACAAUUUAAUUUAAAACAAACUUUGUUUUUUUUUAACAAAUUGAAAAUCAAUUACAAACAUCUUCAGACACUGCUUUAAUUCCGCGCUUUCGUAGCUUUUCUCGCCGAAGCAUUAACUAAAACAGAUAAUCCAAAUAUCCUCUCUCGUUUCUUCUCCUCGACUUGUCUCAGCUCUUACAAGGUACUUUCUUUUUUUAAUCUCUCUCGAAUUCUUUUUCUUCAAAACCUCAAAUUUGGCAUGAACACAUGAAAAUCUCAACUGGGUAUCUUUAAUUUUAAUGAUCCAUGUAUGUUUUUGUGUUGAUCCUUUUGUUUUCACUGAGUUUUUUGAUGGGUUUUGGACAUGCUUGAUAAAGUUUGUUUUUUUUUUUUGGGGGGGGUGGUUCAUAAAGGAUUUUUUUUUUUUGCUUGUGGUUUGCUUAUGGGAUGAUUGUGGAAGUCUCCCUCUUUUUCUCAAUUUCAGUUUUUGAUUGUUAAAAAAUGUUACUUUGUAUUAAAAGAUAGAAACCUUUCUCUGAUUUUGAUAGGAUCCCAUAAAGAACAAGCAAGGAUUGUUAUUUUCCUAGAAAAAAAGAAAGAUUUUUUUUUUUUUACAGACGAUCCUCAGUUUUUUCCUUCUGAAAGUUACCGAUUUUAGUUAGUUUGGUAGUUAAUUGAAGAUUCUCUGUACUGAUCAUGCUGUCACAACUUGUAUUGAUCAAUCAAAUGAAGUUUUUUUUUUUUUUAAUGUCUAUGGGCUAUGUGCUUGUGAAUGCUGAAAUUUUUGAAGAAGUUUACUUGCUUAUUUAGCUCCAGUGAUAUCAUUUUAGCGAAUCUUUCUGAUUUUAUCUUUAUUAGUGACAUGAUUUUUUUAACAUGAUUCUCCUGAUUUACAGGUCAAGAAGUAUUUAGGCCCACCAAUUGUUUAACAAGAAAAAAAAAACAAACAAACAAAGAAAAAAAAGGCAAUUGGCAUUUGGUGACUAAGAGAGGGAGGAUACUGGUUCGUGGAGGCAAUUUAACUUCUGCGAGCUUAGAGUCCUCUCUCAUUCUCUAUUUAUUGUGCACGAGAACACUUCUUGAUGCUUAUGAGAUUUGCUAGAGAGUGAGAUAAGUAACACCAUGGGUUCUGUUUGUUGCUGUUUGCGUGCUGAUGAUUUUGAGGAUUAUAUGAAUCCUGAGAAUUCUGUAUAUAGAAACUGCGUGUGCCUUGGUUGCUUUGUUCAGAAUUUCCUACAUGUGGUAUGCUUCCCCCCUUACCUCCUUUUUCUGUUACUCUUGAAAUUUAAGUUUGUCCUUCACUGUCAUAGCAAUAGGACUAGAAGUUAUAUGCAGCUUCUAAUAUAUUACUAUUUUUUCAUGGCAUCUAAUAUAUUAUUAGGUUCGUUAUUUAACCUGUGAGUUAUAACCUGUCAGGAAUAUUUGCUGCUAAUGCUACAUAAGACAUUGUCAUUAUUUCCAUUUCUUCCUUGCUUCAUGAAGAUCAGGAAUAAGCAAAAGUAUCAGGGAAAGAUUGAUGCCUAAAGAUGAAAGGCAUCUGCGUUGUUUUACUCUUGGAUGUUGGUUCUUACAAGUUGACAAUUUAUUGAUUGUUAAAAGGAGGAAAUAUAUUAGAGCUUUAAAGGAUGAGCUAAAUAGCCAACAAGUUACCAAUGUUUGUUUUUAUAUGUAACAUUGUUGCUACCACUUUUAAGCUGACGAUUCUAUAUUUCUAUCGGUGUCUUCCACCAAGGUAAUCAAACGGGUGGUAAAAGUUGUUGGAAAAAAUUAAAGCAUAUUAGUUGGUGUGCUGCUUAAUGUGGAGAAUCAUCCAGAUUCUUAGUUUUAGCUAAAGUGUAUUUUUGAGUGCAAUGCAUUUAUUUGAAUGAGCAGCUCAUUUGUAUGGAAAAAGUUCUGGUUCAGAAUUUCCAAUUGAUUUGAAUGGAAUUAGAAUUGUAAUUCAAUAGUAGUUAAUAUUCCUUUUGAUGGAGUUCUAACUACUUAAUUUUUUCUUUUUCCCUCCAAUAUUUGUAGUAUACCUCAAUAUUUCAAAGAGGGCAAUUGCAUUCUGUCCCUUCAUCCAUUCAAGGGGCAGCAUCUCUGACUUCUUCUUCAUCUCUUGACAACUCUCUUGCUGACAUGUACCGAUCUCCUCCACGGCCCUUGCCCUAUGAUGCUGACCCCAGAUGCAUCCGCCGUGAUGGUCUGGUUUCAAGACGUGAUAAGGGUUCAAGUCAUUCACAUGAGGAAUCAGAACCCUUAAGAAGUGAUAGUGAUGUUGAUUCUGAAUCCUUCAGCACAGGAGACAAAUGGAACGUGUCUGCUUGUGAAGAUGGAGGCAAGGAACAGCGUUCUAGAUCCUCACUAAAGCUCUCAUCUGAAAAAGCAACAGUUGGAAAUGGAUAUGUUUAUUCAUCCUCAGAAGAAGAGGAUGUCUGUCCAACAUGUCUUGAUGGUAAAAUUCUUGAUUUAGCUUUAAUAGCUGUUGUGUCCAUUUAGAUAUUCUAUGGUAACUGUGUUUCUGCUGAUAUUGUUAGUCCAACAUGUCUUGAACACAAUUUUAUUUUUCACUUUCCUUGCUAGCUUGUUGUUUAAGAAUCUCUUACAUCUCCUGGCAUGAGCCAAGCCACCUUGGACUCUUUUACUUGUUUGUCUUUUGAUAUCUCUAUGUUAGGUGGGAAUAGCAUCCAUCAUUCAAAUAUUGAUAUUUCAAUAAACUUUCACUUUAUAGGCAUAUUGAGAAGCCCCAACACUUAUGUAAAAAAAACAAGAAAGAUUAUUCUACUUUUAGUUAUAAAAGACAUUGAUCUAGUCUUUCUGGUUGGAAUGCUAAGCUAGCUACUGGCACAAUCAUUUGAUUUUAUCACAACUAUAGUGGGAGAUGGUAUGAAUUAUGAACAGAACAGAAGAGGAUGGAAACUUUGAGUUUGUCAGAUUUGUUUCACCAUAUUGCAGUUGUUCAUCUGCUCCAUGUUUUCCUUCCAUGUUCAUUGGUUCCAACCUUAGAAACAAAACUCUGAUAAUUUGAAGUUGGGAAUUUGUUAAAACUAUAUUGGAAGACGUUAUGAACUUGAAAAAACUGGAAGCUAUGAGCAUGUCACGGUUAUUUUUCAACAGGCCAUGGAUUUCCUUCUAAUCCUACCCUCUCAAAUAAUUGGAUCCAACCUUAGAAGCCCAAUUCCAGUAAUUAAGAAGCUGUUUCUAUGAAGAGUGCAACCAUAGCCAUCACAAUGGCCAAAAAAGUGAAAUCUUGGAGUCUAGACCAGUUUUCUGAUGGGUAGUGACCCUCCUUGUUGUCAAUGUUUUAAAGAUGCUUAAAAUUUGCUCUUAUGGACUUGGUGUGUUGACAAUUAAGUUGUCAUUUUUUUACCCUCCUACCUUUGCAGAAUAUACUCAAGAGAACCCGAAGAUAAUGACAAAAUGCUCUCACCAUUUCCACCUUGGUUGCAUUUAUGAGUGGAUGGAAAGAAGUGAUAUCUGCCCAGUCUGUGGCAUGGUAACUUGUUUUGCUUUAUUUUGUUUAAACUUGCUCAUUCAAUUUGCAAUUUUCAUUCUGGAAUUAUAUUAAUCAGUACCUUUGCUACCUGAGGAGCACAAUGAGUUUAAUGUUCAACAGAUUUUUAUUUUUCUUUUCUGUGUUGCCAAAAACUUAAUUCUUUUCAAGACUUUUCGUGCUCCUGUGCAUUUGAUUAAAUUCUUCUUUUGGUUUAACGUAGGGAUGCUCAUUUCUUGCAUGAGUAAAUCUAGUUUCUUUUGUUGUUGUGAAUAGCAAUGACAUGUCUUGUUAGCUAUAUUAAAUGAUGAAUUGGGUGCUUUUGAAUGCUGUAGGAGCUGGCUCUAUUGCAUGAUUUUAUUUUGUCUCUGAUGACUCCAAUUUUAUAUUACUUAAUUGCACUCCAUUUUGCACUCAAUUUAGAGGUUAAAAACUUUUUUAUGCAGUUGAGAUUUGAGAGGUUUACAGAAAACCUACUUUUUUGUCCCCUGUUGGCUCAUGAAGUAUUGAAAAAGACUUUCGGCUAUUCUGGCCUUUUGCUCAAGUGUCAUAGGCAGCAACAUGUGGGAAGAAAUUGUGAGGUGACGGGUUAGCCAGCAUUUUGUUGCUUAACAGCCAAAAAAGUAAUUAAUAAAAUUGAUACUUAGGAUGUGAUGUAUUCUAGCGCACACCUUAGUAAACUGAAGAGGCUUACAAAUUGCUUACCUGGUGCAUAUGAAAGGUAGCUGUGCCUCAAAUUAGUUUGCCAGCUACGGGGCAUUGAAAAACCACAAUUUGCAGAAAAUUCAUUUCUCACAUGAUUUUACUUUCAGUGAUCCCACAUCAAAUCUGCUGAUGCCAUGCUAGUCUUGAUAGUUUGGAUGAAAUGUCCAUCUUGGUUACUUCUUGUAUUUGUUUUGUACUUGGAAUCCACAGGUUUCUGGAUGGUAAAAGCUGGUUUACAUUGUCUCAAGAUUAGUCGGAAACAGCAAUAUAAUUUGCACUCUCGUGUGUUCCAUUUUGAAAGCAUCCUUCUGACACAUUCAGCAUAACUACUUGCUUGCUACUUCAACAUUCAAAUAUGAAAAUCAUUGUUUUCUGCUGUUAUUAACAUGAAAAAAGUAGAAUGAAAUUUGAUAUCAUGUUUUUCCUGAAUCUUUUCUAUGUUGACUUAACCAAGUCUUUUGGUUUGAUCCUCUAGGUGAUGGUAUUCGAUGAAACGACUUGAUCUUGCUUCAAAGGUUAGUGUCGUGGAUGAAACAAGCUACAGCACGAGAAGAAGGUAAAAGAAAGACUGUAUAGAGCUCUUUGUGAAUACCGCAAGUGUUUGCUGUCUAUAUUGUAAAUGAACGAUUGGUCUACAUAACAAUUGUUACAAAGUACAUUCUCUUCCAAAAGCCCGUUAAUUUUUUUCUCCCCAUCCGUAUGAAUGAAAAAUCUGCUUAUAGUUUCAUAAUAAUUUAAAAACAUGAAUUGAUGUUUGCUGUGUUUCUAUGCUGACGAGGUGUUGUUUUUUGAGGAUAGAAUUUGGCAAAAGACAUCUUUUCGCCGAGCUCAUAUACGUAGUGGUUAGUUAGAGGAUUAGAAUAAUGGAGUGUUUUAACAUGAAUUAUCAGCCUUGUCCCUGUACCAGUUUCUUCUUUCGUUCCCCUUAUGUGCUAUGGCCUACCUGUAUUCCCAAUUCUGAGUUUUGUUUAUUGAUCUUGUGAUGGAAUUCUCAACUCUUCUCCUGUCCUAGAAUCAGGAACGAAGAGUCUUAGUAAAAUUGAAGGCAUGACUAAAUUCAGAUCAGUGUGUGCAGUUCCAAGAUUAUGCAAUUUACCAAUGAUUACCAGUGAUCUUAUAAAAUUUGAUUCAAACAAAUUUCAAGCAAUUUCUUAAAGAUUUCUGCAUGCCUGUAACAAGUAGCAGCACCUUCCUCUGUCAAAGGAUGCAAUUUUCACAUUUUAGGUUGUCACCAUUUAAAACUAGAAAAGGAAAGGACAAGAAAAGAGAUGUCUAAAGAGCUCAAUCCCAACAUGCACGUGAUCUGUCGGUUCAAGAGGCUGCAGCAAGUUUUUUUUUUUCUUUUUCUUUGUGGUUAAAAUGGUUAUUCUGCACAACGUUUUAUGAUUUUCUUGAUGAUAAAUAAUAUCAUUGGAUAUAAAUAUAUAAAUUUAAAAUACAAAUAUUGAACUUCAAUAGUUCGAAGAUCAAGGAUUCUUUGGCAUGAUAUUUAAAAAAACAAACUAGAAAGGGGAUUAGUAAAACUUUGUGACCACUUUGGAUUUGUAUAGUUAUUUUAAUUUUUUUUGUUAUUUUUUUUCUAGUUUAAUCCUUGCAUGUUUUAUUAAUUUAGAAUUGAAAUUCAUGUAUUUUUUUUCUAGGUUUUCAUGAUUUAAAAAAUUAUCUUGGUAUCAAGUUGGUUUUUAAUUUUAAUUUUACAGAGAAUAAAUCAAUUUGAUUAUUUGUGGGACACAAAUUGAAAGUUAGGUGAAGUGGUAGCCUUUUUCAAAAGGAUGAUGUUUUUAUUUUUUAGUCCUUAGUUUUUUUUUUUUAGUUUGGCAUUGAACUUUUUUUCUCCACAUUCAUCCUUUCAAUGAUUGGUGAUUCAGCUUCAUGAUUUAGUUCAUAUUUUUUUCUUUCUAGUUAUCAUAGUUUUAAAAAUAUCUCGACAUUAGUUUUCAAUUUUGCAAAAAAAAAAAAAAUUUAAUUUUAUUGUUUGAGAAAAAUAAAAGAAUGAGGGAACCAAAAUUAACCAAAAGCUUGGUGAAAUGGAAGCUCUUUACAAACAAAUUGUGUUAGUGCUUUUAAGCUUAGGAUUCUGUCCAAAAUCAUUUUUGAUCAUUUUAAUUUGAAAAUCAUAUGAUUUGGUCUAAGAUUUUAUUUUAUUCACAUUUAAGUUCUUGAGUUUAAGUAAGAAGAGAGAGAUACUGAAUUACGAUGAAAAAAAGAGAAAGUUAUCGUUGACCACAACCUAAGGAUCAAAAACAUCAUUCUUGGUGUUAAUGGUUUCAUUUCACGAGAGGAAUGUCAUCGGGGUAUUUUUGCCCCUUAACUUGGGCGAAAGGUAAAUUGACAUUUGAGAAUACCUUUUGAAUCAAGAUAAAUUAUGUGUUUUUUAACCAAUUAAACAUUGUUUUGAGCUUAGAAAUAGAUUCAUUUAUGUUUAUGAGUGCGUUUCGCAAGUGUUUUUAGAUGAAAAAAUUACCUUGAUAAAUAGUGUUUUUGUGUCCAAAGAGGGGAGAGGAG